rnacentral:lncRNA from 1 species
GAGAGAGUUAAUCGGGAUGCAAGAUGUGUCAAGAGAAGAUUUCAAGUUUAAGGGGGAGAAUGUUGAUUUAAACUUGAAGUAGCUUAGGGAAUAAGCUACCACUUUCUUAUGAGAUUAAGAAAGAAUAUAUGUUAGAGUUAUCUAUAAGAGGGGUUUCCUAAUGAGUUUAGGAACUUAGUUGUAUAUAUAAAGGAUAUGCAAGAGUGUUGCAUAACUUGUGAGAUAAGAGAGAGCUUUAGUUUUGAGUUAUUUUCUAAAGGAUUGAGAGUUAUAAUAAAGAGUUUGAGUUUGAGAUUAAGUGUUUGAUUCAAUACAAUAUACUCUUUCGCCAUGGACAAGGACUACUCAAAAUGUUUAACCGAGUUUUGGAACUCCCUACAAACCAAGCACAUAUUGGUUCCAUCGAUGGUAGAAUUAUUAAACCUACGACAAAUCCUGAACUUGCUCGUUGGACUGCUACAAACUAUAUGAUU